ensembl:lncRNA
CUGGAAACUGCCAAGGUGUAUGUGUUGGGGGGAGGGGAGCAAAUCCCCCACCACCACCUCCCUAUAAUUGACUUCUGCAGAAGUGAGCAUUGACAUUUAUGAAGCCUAGACAAAGGGACCAUGUUUGGUGGUGUUUAGGUCAGGGGGGCAAAGCGGAGCCUCUUCUGGAAAUUCUCAUGGAACAAGAGAGAGAGAGAGUUCUGCCAUGCCCCCGUCCAUCGGCCCAGGUGGCCAAGGCAAGUGCGAGAGUGAAUAAUCACCUACAGGCAAAGCUGACCAAGAAAACUUCUCAGAAACCGCCCACCACGAGGAACCUUAGAAAAAUCGGAGGCUCAAAACUCUGUAGCCAGGGUUCCAAGGUGAAUGAAGAGCUGAAUCAGAACGGACCAGAGGAGGUCCCAGAGAGUGUGGAGAUGCCUGUCAUUCCAGCGGGACCGGUGGGCAGCCAGUGACUUGAAGGUGGCCAAGGCAAGUGCGAGAGUGAAUAAUCACCUACAGGCAAAGCUGACCAAGAAAACUUCUCAGAAACCGCCCACCACGAGGAACCUUAGAAAAAUCGGAGGCUCAAAGCUCUGUAGCCAGGGUUCCAAGGUGAAUGAAGAGCUGAGUCAGAAUGGACCAGAGGAGGUCCCAGAGAGUGUGGAGAUGCCUGUCAUUCCAGCGGGACCGGUGGGCAGCCAGUGAC